UGGCUAGAGUUACUUUAAACUCCUACUAAAACUAUAAGAGCGCACUUUCUAUUAAAUAAAUAUACCUCAAGCCAAUAUGCGCAGAAAAGUUCUCUAAUUUGAAAUGUUAAUUAUCAGUUCUGACACUGAUGAACCUCAAGCUUCUCUUUUGAAGAAAUUGCAGAACGUGUGGACUUGUAGUCAAUGUGUAUUCAGUGAUAAAAUGGUAGAGGACCCCCCGGAAUUUAUAACAAAAGGAAGUUUUUUCUAAUUCUUUUUCUUCCAAAGCUUAUCAGUGUUUAUAAUAUUAUGAUGAUCAGUAAUCUUUUUGUGGUAGAACUACAAACACGCUUGUUGUUGAUGCUCAUUAAUGCUGUAUUUUUUAUUCAAUUUUUUGGCAGCAGAAUGGUGGAUGAUCAGAAAGAUAAUGCCUAUAUUGGCCCUCUGAUUAAAAUAUUAGCUACAGCAACAAGCUAGGCAAUAUUAGGACUUCUGGGACGUUGGGUUAUGUGAUCUGUAUGGUUUCGGCCUGGUUGCUGGCCGUUACCUCUUUUGUCGUAGGUUUGAUGAAGAAGAGGACGUACUGAAGGGGAAAAACACAAGCAUUUGUAAGCAAAAAGCUCAUGAUGGCCAGCUACAGCUAGGAGAUGCCCGUGAUGCUACGUACAAGGCUAGUCUUCUUGAAUGUCAUCGAAGGAUUUGAUUCUCAGUAACCCCAACAAGUAUAAAGAUGUACGUUCUGCAAAUUCCAUGCAUCUCCCAGAUUACUCAAAACCAAAACUCGAGUGCACAAUUUCAAGGGACAAAAUUAAAUAGUUCUAAGUAAUUAAUUCGUUGCCAUAUGCAUGGGCAAAUAAGGGUAUGUAUAGUUAGUGCAUGGCUACAUGCAUCAGUACUACUAGAUCAAACAAAUUUGCCGAAAGUUCUGAGUGUCCAUUGCAAAUGUUUCAAAUUCCUUAAACGGUGCCCAUUGCAAAUGUUAACAUAGCCUCGCAUUUGAUUGAAUUAUAUA